CGUGUCGUGAGAUGUUGGGUUAAGUCCCGCAACGAGCGCAACCCUUAUUACUAGUUGCCAGCAUUCAGUUGGGCACUCUAGUGAGACUGCCGGUGACAAACCGGAGGAAGGUGGGGAUGGCGUCAAAUCAUCAUGCCCCUUAUGACCUGGGCUACACACGUGCUACAAUGGCGUAUACAACGAGUUGCCAACCCGCGAGGGUGAGCUAAUCUCUUAAAGUACGUCUCAGUUCGGAUUGUAGGCUGCAACUCGCCUACAUGAAGUCGGAAUCGCUAGUAAUCGCGGAUCAGCACGCCGCGGUGAAUACGUUCCCGGGUCUUGUACACACCGCCCGUCACACCAUGAGAGUUUGUAACACCCAAAGCCGGUGGGGUAACCUUCGGGAGCCAGCCGUCUAAGGUGGGACAGAUGAUUAGGGU
rnacentral:rRNA from 1 species